AUACGUAGGGGGCGAGCGUUGUCCGGAAUGAUUGGGCGUAAAGGGCGCGUAGGCGGCCGCUUAAGUCUGGAGUGAAAGUCCUGUUUUUAAGAUGGGAAUUGCUUUGGAUACUGUCGGGCUUGAGUGCAGGAGAGGUAAGUGGAAUUCCCAGUGUAGCGGUGAAAUGCGUAGAGAUUGGGAGGAACACCAGUGGCGAAGGCGACUUACUGGACUGUAAUUGACGCUGAGGCGCGAAAGUGUGGGGAGCAAACAGGAUUAGAUACCCUAGUAGUCCACGCCGUAAACGAUGAGUACUAAGUGUCGGGUAACCGGUGCUGAAGUUAACACAUUAAGUACUCCGCCUGAGUAGUACGGUCGCAAGGUUGAAACUCAAAUGAAUUGGCGGGG
rnacentral:rRNA from 1 species